rnacentral:rRNA from 1 species
UGCCAGACUCCUACGGGAGGCAGCAGUGAGGAAUAUUGGUCAAUGGACGAGAGUCUGAACCAGCCAAGUAGCGUGAAGGAUGACUGCCCUAUGGGUUGUAAACUUCUUUUAUAUGGGAAUAAAACAGGGUAUGCAUACCCUCUUGUAUGUACCAUAUGAAUAAGGAUCGGCUAACUCCGUGCCAGCAGCCGCGGUAAUACGGAGGAUCCGAGCGUUAUCCGGAUUUAUUGGGUUUAAAGGGAGCGUAGGUGGAUUGUUAAGUCAGUUGUGAAAGUUUGCGGCUCAACCGUAAAAUUGCAGUUGAAACUGGCAGUCUUGAGUACAGUAGGGGUGGGCGGAAUUCGUGGUGUAGCGGUGAAAUGCUUAGAUAUCACGAAGAACUCCGAUUGCGAAGGCAGCGUACCGGCUCCACACUGACGCUGAGGCACGAAAGCGUGGGUAUCGAACAGGAUUAGAUACCCGAGUA